rnacentral:SRP_RNA from 1 species
GCUGGGCGUGGUGGCACACGCCUGUAAUCCCAGCUACUAGGGAGGCUGAGGCAGGAGAAUCGCUUGAACCUGGGAGGCAGAGGUUGCGGUGAGCCAAGAUCGUGCCCCAUUGCACUCCAGCCUGGGCAACAAGAGCGAAACUCCAUCUGAAAAAAUAAAAAUAAAAAUAAAUAAUUUUUUUUUUUUUUUUAUGAGACAGAGCCUUACUCUGUCACCCAGACUGGAGUGCAGUGGCGCUAUCUCAGCUCACUGCAAGCUCUGCCUCCCAGGUUCUCGCCAUUCUCCUGCCUCA